rnacentral:misc_RNA from 1 species
UCUGCAUCCACCACAUCCCAAAUCCAAGCAGCAGUUGCCGCCAGGGAGGUGACCUUAAAAGGACAAAACACAUAGACGCAGCUUCCCAUCUCUUCUUUUACUUUUCUGACCUUCUUCAACUCUCGCUUUCAUACGCACUCUCUCUCUCUCUCUCCUCUGCUUCUUGGAUCUCUCCUACCAUGUCCCAAAAUCCCCCAACGGUCACAUUUCCACCACCCUCUUAAUAAACCUCUCCAAAUUCCCACCUCAAAGCCGUUUCUUUGCUUCCAGUUUCCUUUUUCUUGAUUAAACAUGUCUGGCUCUCUGCUUUUGCUGCUUCUGCUGCUAGUAGCCUUUUCUUUUCCACGCUCUUUGCAGGGCCAAAACGGCAUCCCGCCAAGGAAUAUCUGGUGCGUUGCUAAGAACAACGCCGACGACCAAGCCUUGCAGGGAGCCAUUGACUGGGCAUGCGGACCCGGUGGAGCCGACUGUAGCCCCAUCCAGCAAGGCGGGCCUUGCUAUGAUCCUAACGAUAUUCAGACGACGGCGUCCUGGGCUUUUAAUGAUUAUUACCUGAAGCAUGGGUUGACUGAUGAUGCUUGCUUCUUUAGCAACUCUGCUGCUCUCACUUCCUUAAACCCUAGUCAGUGUUUUACUGUUUUUGCACCUAUUUGAACUGAAUAAAUCUUUUCAUGAUUUAUGACUUAUUUUGUUUCUUUGGUUGCUUUUAGAUCUGAAAAAUUCAAACUCUGCUUUUGCUAUGUUUCGUUUUCUUACUAAGUUGUCACCUGCAUUGCUAGUUCUCAAUGAAAACUGUCUGUUUUGUUCCUUGCUGAUAUUUGAUUUGUUCAUAGUUCGAUGAUUAGUUUUCUUUUGAGUUUUGAUUGGAUGGUUUCUUAUUUAAUUUUUUUUUCUAUUUUCAGGCCAUGGCAAUUGCAAAUUUCCUUCCAGCCUAUCGGUGAACAAUGGGAGCAUUUCUGGUUCAACAACGACAACGACAAUUGGAAUGGGGCCAGACAGUGCAGAUUUGAGCGGAAGUAAUCAGAUCGCUAGCACAUGGUUUUGGCCCAUUAUCACCAGUCAUCUGUUUGUGGCGCUUGCUACAAUAAUUGGAUCAUAGCAGAGAGCUAAUUUUGAUUCCUUAUUCAUUUAUGCAGUUUUUAGGAGAAAUUGUUGAGGCCAAAGCAAAGGCUUUUGUUCAGAAGAAAGACAUUUAGGAUUUAAAGUAUUGAUCCAUGGUAUAUUUCUUGUUCAGUAAGUUCCGGGGAAUCCUCUUCCACUUCUGUUUUACCUUAGCUUUGUAAUUUAUCAGCAAAGUGAAGUAUAUUCAAAUCUUGAGCCUGUUCUUUUAACAAUGUUAGAGAUGCCUUGACAUCAGAAAGCAGUUUUUUAAGCUUAAAAUCUCAGGGUUUUUUCUGCACGUGGAAUCUCUUUGCAUGUUCUCCCUUUGUAGCCUGUCCUUAACGUUUAGCAAUGAUUGCAGUGCAGGAUCAUGAAAGUUUAGCAAGGCUCUUGUACUCUUGAUUUACGAGGAGCAUAGCAAUUCUGAAAGCUUUCUGAAUGGGCUAACAGAAAAAGUUAAUUCAAAUGAAUGCGACUACUGUAGCACUUACUGAAAGCUUUCUAAAAUAAUUAGUCUUAAUGUUUCAGUUGGAAAAUAUAAAAAUCUUGAACCCGAAAAGAAUUUGUAACCUAAUAGCGUCUACUUAAUUGAUUGGGCAAGGGUUACUAGCUUGGAUCAUUGGCUUUGAGGAAAAGUGGGUCAUAAUCACUGUGAGUUGGGG